AUGCCGGUGUUCCGCUCGUUUUCGCUUCUUGCAGCGGCGAUAAAACCGUUUGAAUCUGGGAACAGAACCUCUCCAAUAGCCUCUUCUCAUGCAAGGUUUUAUGGUGUUCUAUUUUGCUGCUCUGUAAUCUACAUAGAGUUCUACAAUCGGUUGUUCUACUGCUCAAUUCUGCUACUCGAUAAUUCAAAACUCUACAAUCAAUCAUUUUUAAGAAAAAUCUUGUUAAAUACUAAUUCCAUUUUGAAAACUAGCAUGAUGAAUGGUCAAAUAUAA
rnacentral:lncRNA from 1 species